UUUAUUCCUGUCUAUUUCUAUUUCUCUCAGUUUCUCAAAGAAAUUCCUCCUGUUUUACACUUGUAUACAAUUAUCAUUAGAGACAGCCUUUGGUAGGUCAGGCAACAUCUGUCUAGUUUCACUUUCCACCACGUGAGACUCAAUCAUUCUGCUUGAACUCAAUGCAGCAAUACCUCUGACUCCUCAGCAAGCCCUAACACAUCCACACAGCUGUUGAACAUGAGAGCCAGCUCAGCCCGUUGGCCCAGAUCUGUACUUUAUUUACAUUAGUGAGGGGUAUGGCUAACCACAUUUGUUCUAUCACCUAGGUGACAAAACAUUCCCCCAACAGCACCCUUUUGCUGUGAUUAUAGAUUUUCUCCAUUAAUGGAGAAGGUGAAAACAGACCCACCUAUUUAUUACCUAUCGACUUGCUCAAGAGAUGGCCAGCAAUUGUUCAUACUACUAAAAUAAUUAUGAUGGAAACACAGAUUAAGCAUUCGACAAAAAAUCUGUAUGAUCUCAGGGAUGAGAAGGAGAAUGUUUCCAGGUUCUUCAUUCAGACUUUGUUGACACCCAAGGGAAGAGGAGUUACUUCUUGCUGCUUAAUACAAUUCAUCAACUCCACAUUUUACUCCUCAAUGAAACAAAGAAAUGAAAGAAGUUUUGAGAGAUGUUAAAGCCCAUUGAAGAGGAUAUGGCAUAGGGUCUCCCAGAAUGGAUUGGAAAAAGAGUAUUCCAACCUCAUUUUUAAGUUACUUUUGGUUUGAAAUCUAAAGGAGGAAAUAUAUUUAUAAUGACUUUUACUUCAUAUUAUUUCAGGCAUAUAUGCUUUUCAUA